ensembl:lncRNA
GUGACAAAGGCUAGAUAGGCUGAGUGAGAGGAGAUAGGGAGGGAGUGUUGACAGCGGCAUGGAGAAGAAAAUGAGAGAGAAGGAGAGGAGGUUGCAAAAAUGCUGUGCCUUUAAGGCAGCAAGCCCCUCCUACAUGGAGCCGAGCAGAGGAGCCGAGUGAUGCUGGCAGGAGCCCGAGCUUCUCGAUAAACUCUGGCAUCAGCUUCCCUUCAUCCGGCACUUCAUCCUCCACUUCUACUCCUUCUCUGAUGAGCCACAACCUCAGAGUGAAAUAACCCUGCUGAUAGAAGCUUCUCUCUCUGUCAAGACAGUGCCAUGCGUGAUUGGCCAGCACACCCUGUGGCAGUGGCAUUGCCCGGGAUUGAGCGCGAAGCUCUCCCUCCUGCUCGCUCUCUGGAGCUCCUCUGGGAAGCUUUCCUGGGAUUUAUCUUGUGCUGCCGGAUGGCACGAGGCUCUCUGCCUCUCUGAGAACGGUCCCCAGAAAAAACACUCUCUAUACGGAUAAGAAGUAAAAUAAUUAUCCAAUCACAGCACAAGCAGGCAGACUGGGUUCCCUUAGCAACAACUGAAGGAGACAAGUGAUUUUUUUUCUCUCUCUUUCUGCUAUUCUGGUUUUUGGGCACACCCCUGUGGACUGCUGUGGGUCAGCGUUCUGUGAGAGGACUUGAAGAGCGAUGGUGCAAAAGCCAAGCUCCCAUCAAAAUUCCAAAGGAGGGUGCUCAUCUGCGUUCCAGGCUCCUUGUUACUGUGUCUCGCUGACAACAUGAUUUGGGGUUUUUUUGUUAUCCCUCCACAAAUUCCCUUCACCAAGUCACAUUCUGCUGGCUUUGAAAUCAAUUCAUCCUGAUCCCACGCCACCUGGAAUGAGCUCUGCAUUCAGGAGAGAGAUUGGAAAAAAAGAAAAAAGCUCACACCUACUCUCUUGCCUUUUGUGGACAAGAAUACAAGGACAGCGCGAUUAGCCUUUCGCCAGCAAUGAAAAUGGAUGUGAAGGAAAGUUUAUUUUAACAAGAAGUUUUUUUCAAGAGGAAGAAAUAAAACGGGGCACAGAGGAAUAUCUUUUUUUUUUCAGAGAAGAUCUGUCCUUUCUCUCUUGCAGACACUAGCCCUCACUGAGGGACUUAAUUUAAAAGGCAAAUCUUGUCCCCACUGGCCAUCAAUAGAUUAGCAAAAAUUUCAAAGUGAGCUGUUGAUGUGGGUUUUAUUUUUCCAGGUAGUUUAAGAUUAACCCACUAUUAAAAAAAGGUUGUUUUUUUGUGUUCCCAGUUUUGUAGGUUAGUCUACAAAUAUGUCACUGUGUUGAAGUGAAAAAGAUUCAAGUGGACAAGGGGAAUGGGGAAUAAGUCUCCCUGUAUAGACAGGUGUUUUAAAAUAGCUGGGACAGUUUUAAAUGUACAUGCUGACAUGAGAUGAGUUUGUUUAACACGAUUAUGUAAGAAAUCUCCAAACAGCGUCAGCUCACAUUUUCUGCUUCCCUUUUUUUUGUCCAUGGAUUUUAAGUGUGGGACUUUUCUGAUGUUGAUACUCCCUUCAAUUUUGGAAGCGUCUACCCGAAAGGAUGGAUGUCAGAGUGUGACCCUGUGCCAAGUGUGCGGGCGAGGCAAGGUAAUUUGGCUGCCCAGGUGCUUUUAAGAUGUUGAUGUCUCCCUGUGUGGCCGGGGCCCCUGUUCGGAUCAGUAGCGCUGAGGCUCAUUGCAGCCAAAGACAUGGACCCCGACUCGGCUCCCCCACGCCCUCAGCCUGUUGGCCACUGGC